rnacentral:rRNA from 1 species
CCUACGGGAGGCUGCAGUGGGGAAUAUUGCGCAAUGGGGGCAACCCUGACGCAGCAACGCCGCGUGAUUGAUGAAGGCCUUCGGGUUGUAAAGAUCUUUAAUCGGGGACGAAUUUUGACGGUACCCGAAGAAUAAGCUCCGGCUAACUCCGUGCCAGCAGCCGCGGUAAUCCGUAGGGAGCAAGCGUUCUCCGGAUUUACUGGGUGUAAAGGGCGUGUAGGCGGGCAUGCAAGCCAGAUGUGAAAUCUGGGGGCUUAACCCCCAAACUGCUUUUGGAACUGCGUGUCUUGAGUGAUGGAGAGGCAGGCGGAAUUCCCAGUGUAGCGGUGAAAUGCGUAGAGAUUAGGAAGAACACCAGUGGCGAAGGCGGAUUACUGGACGAUAACUGACGGUGAGGCGCGAAAGCGUGGGGAGCAAACAGGAUUAGAUACCCUGGUAGUC